rnacentral:lncRNA from 1 species
AUAACUAAAAAAAAAAAAAAAAAUGCAUUAAAUCCAGAAUAAUAUAGAAUUAUAUAAAAAAUUCACUUGUAACACGUUAAAAUAUUCAAAAACAUUCAAUAACAUCAUUAAUUAUAAUAUUGUAUUUUAUUACAAAAAAAAAAAAAAAAAAAAAAAAAAAGAUGCUUACAACAACUUAUAAAAUAAUUAUUGUUUUCGUUUUUGUAUGGACAUGGACCAAUAACAUCAAAACUCGGUUGGGAAAUAUACUAAGAGCAAAAUAUGGUAGAGCACUAGCACAACAUGAUAUCUUUCCAAACCAACAGAAUGAUCAUUCUUAUGUAGCACAUAAUAACAAUAACUAUUUUUCUAAACAGUGUGAACAAUGUAUGAUUAAUGAUAAUAACCCAAAUAAGAAUGUACCAAUUGGUGAACAGUAUCAAAAUGUAUCAAUUUAUUUAACUGAUAUUAAAAAAGAAUUAAUUCAAAUGUUAGCAAACCGAAAUGAUCCCCAAAUAACGAAUAUACUAAAAAAAAAUAAAAACAUACAAGAAAAAGACUUGCUAAAAAUAUAUAACUUGAUGAAACAUGCCAUUUCAAGUGAAGAAUAUUUACAAAUUAUAAAUGAAAGUCGUGAAUCAUUAAAAAGUAGCCGCUCUUACUAUAAUGACCAUGCUGAAACAUACUACAAAUCGAUGUUGUAUUUACUCAAUAUAUAUUUCUUUCUUACUAACAACACAAAAAAAAAUUUUAAACAGCGCCUUAUGCAAUUACAACAAGAUAAUCAGAAACAACCAAUAUUUAAAAAAAAAAAAUUUAAAUUCAAAGCGAAAUAUUUAAAUAUAUUUAAACUUAGUAAAAAAAUAGAUAAACAUAUUAGGAUUCAAUUACUUGAACAAAUGAUAAAAGAACAAAUAGAUCCAAGUGUAACAUUGUCAUUUAAAAAAAUGCUUAAGUUAUGUAGUUAUAGCUUAUUUAACCCAUUAUUUAUUUCUGUAUGUUUACUUGUAGCUAAUCCUAUUAUACACAUCGUCGUCGUAGAGGCAUUAUUUGCACUAAUUAUAAUUACAUGUGUACAGUCUAUAUAUAAAAUAAAUGAAGAUGCAAAAUCCAUAAAUCGAAUUAUACAUGGGUCAGGACUACCAAGCAGAGAAAAUUUUAUCUAAUAAUAUAUAGCAUAAACAUAUUAUAGCAGUACAAAAUAUUUACGCCAUACUAAUUUUAAUAUGGAUGGUAUAUAUAUAUAUACGUUUUUUUUAAGUUCUUAUUUGACAAUAAACACAACAUUCGAUUAACUCA